GUCGAGUAAAUCGGGGAUUUUGUUAGUGUCAGUGGGCCAGUGUGUGGGUUCAUAUGUGGUGAGGUAGUUGAGAUUGUUGGUGGUUAUUCUUUUCAAGAGAGGUUUUUGCCUCUUGCUGUGACAAGUCUGCUGCCCCAUUGGAUAUGUUUGGCGUUAUAGUCUCCUCCAGCUAUAAAUCUAUUGCCUAGGGCGUCAAAGAAGCUGUCAAAGUUCUCUUUAGCAAUCGAGUGUCUGGGAGUGCAGUAUACUGCUGAGGUGGUGAUUGUGCCAU
rnacentral:misc_RNA from 1 species